GGAAGAGGAAAAGUGGCCGCUGUGGGCUUGGCAAGCGCCUGAACUGGGGACGCGUGAGGCUCCGCCGAGGGCUGGCGGCGACCCAGAUACGGGGAGGACCAGGAACCGCUCUGCUGCUUCCGAACGCCCCGAGCAGCAGAUUUCCAAACUGCGAGAUACAUCACCUGAUCUCUGGUGCCUCCGAAGUGUCUCACCCUGUGUAGGUGCUCCCUACGUGUACGUCCAGAGAAUUAAUAAUGAAAUCACCAAAGUUCACUGCAUGCACAGAAGGUCAGCGCCAGUGUCCCUUUCUGGUCCCAGCCAUCGCCACCUACUGCCCAGUUUCCUCCAGAGCCUGCGGGCUGGUCUCCAGCUCUCACCCUACUCCGUGUGGUCACUUCUCCCCUCAGCCCUCAGAGCACUCUUUUAAAAACAGUGCAUCAGAUGGUACUGCACCCCUGCUUAGAACCCAGAGCACUCACACCUAAACGGAAACCCUUCGUGAUGCCCAGAUCCUGCACAACCCGUCUGCAGUUGGUCUCUCUAAGCGUGUCACAGAGAGCUCUCUUCAGUGACUCUAGCCACACCGCUUUCUUGCUCUUCCGGCCUCAGGGUCUUUGCUCUUGCUGUUCUCUCUGGCUGGAAUGCUCUGACCUCAGAUUUUUCGUGGCCGGCUUCUUUGCACCAUCCAGAUCUCAGUUGAAGUGUCACCCACCCCUCCCCCGUCCCCCCAUGAAGGUGUCCUCUCUGAACCCUUCCCCACCCCAGCAGCCUCUAUCACAUCCAGGUGCUUUAUUGUCU